rnacentral:rRNA from 1 species
CGUGGAGACAGGUGGUGCAUGGCUGUCGUCAGCUCGUGUCGUGAGAUGUUGGGUUAAGUCCCGCAACGAGCGCAACCCUCACCCCUGGUUGCCACCGGGUAAUGCCGAGCACUCGAGGGGAACUGCCAGCGUCAAGCUGGAGGAAGGCGGGGAUGACGUCAAGUCAUCAUGCCCCUUACGCCCUGGGCUACACACGUGCUACAAUGGCCGGUACAAAGGGACGCAAGACCGCGAGGUGGAGCUAAUCCCAAAAAGCCGGUCUAAGUUCAGAUUGCAGUCUGCAACUCGACUGCAUGAAGGAGGAAUCGCUAGUAAUCGCGCAUCAGCCCGGCGCGGUGAAUACGUUCCCGGGCCUUGUACACACCGCCCGUCACACCACGAAAGCUGUCUGUACUCGAAGUCGCUGAG